rnacentral:rRNA from 1 species
UACAGAGGUGGCAAGCGUUGUUCGGAUUUAUUGGGCGUAAAGGGUUCGUAGGCGGUCUGAAAGUCAGGUGUGAAAUCUCACAGCUUAACUGUGGAACUGCAUUUGAUACUGUCAGACUAGAGUGUGGAAGGGUGAGGAAUCUGGUGUAAGGUGAAUCUGCAGAGAUCAGGAAGAACACCUGUCGCGAAGGCGCUUCACUGGCCCACUACUGACGCUGAGGGACGAAAGCUAGGGGAGCAAACGGGAUUAGAACCGUACC